rnacentral:rRNA from 1 species
CCGGAGCUAAUACCGGAUGGUCUGCACAGGUUAAUGCGUAUGCAGUAAAGGAUGGCCUCUGAGACAAGCCAUUGCCUUGAGAUGAGUCCGCGUUCCAUUACCUAGUUGGUGGGGUAAGAGCCUACCAAGGCAACGAUGGAAUGCUGGUCUGAGAGGAUGAUCAGCCACACUGGAACUGAGACACGGUCCAGACUCCUACGGGAGGCAGCAGUGGGGAGUAUUGGGCAAUGGGGGCAACCCUGACCCAGCAACGCCGUGUGAGGGAAGAAGGUUUUCGGAUCGUAAACCUCUGUCAGGAGGGAAGAAGUGCAUGCCAAGUAAUAUGUGGUAUGUUUGACGGUACCUCCAAAGGAAGCACCGGCUAACUCCGUGCCAGCCGCCGCGGUAAUACGGAGGGUGCGAGCGUUAUUCGGAAUUACUGGGU